GAUGAAGAACGCAGUGAAAUGCGAUAAGUAAUGUGAAUUGCAGAAUCCAGUGAAUCAUCGAAUCUUUGAACGCACAUUGCGCCCGCCAGCAUUCUGGCGGGCAUGCCUGUUCGAGCGUCAUUUCAACCCUCGACCUCCCUUUGGGUAAGUCGGCGUUGGGGACCGGCAGCACACCGCCGGCCCUGAAAUGGAGUGGCGGCCCGUCCGCGGCGACCUCUGCGUAGUAAUCCAACUCGCACCGGAACCCCGACGCGGCCACGCCGUAAAACACCCAACUUCUGAACGUUGACCUCGAAUCAGGUAGGACUACCCGCUGAACUUAAGCAUAUCAAUAACGGAGGA
rnacentral:misc_RNA from 1 species